AACCACAAAAUCAUGACCUGAGCUGUAGUCGGCCUCCCAACCAACUGAGCCACCCAGGGCUUCUGAAAAAAUGUGAUUGUUGGUUAGCCGAACAAGUAUUUCUCUAGCAGUGCAGCAGACGCUUUCCUUCUGGUGACAUGUGAGAGUGGGUGGCAUGCCUCAUUUUAUAGCACUUCGCAGAUACUGCCUGUUUUACAAGUUGAAGGUCUGUGGAAAUUCUGCAUGAAGCAAGUCUAUCAGCAUCAGUUUUCUACUAGCAUUUGCUCACUUCGCAUCAUUGUGUCACAUUUUGGGACUGAUACGUUGAUGUGGCAGACGUACAUCGUGAACCACGCUGAGGAAGGCAACAUCUGUGAGGAUGGUGGAGAAUUACACGGGAAGAAGACAAAUCCAUAGAAGAAGAUCACAGAGCAAAGCCUCACUUGCAUAGGCUCUUUGGAAUUUUAAAUUGUUCCAUGUGCACGAGUCAAACUUAAGGCAUUGUCUUUCAUUUGCUUGUUUUCCAGCAGUUUAGUCUUUAUCCUAAUAAAACUGCUUAGGAAAAUAUGA